rnacentral:tRNA from 1 species
UGGUGAUUGACCGAGUGGUUAGGUAGUGGAUUGCAAAUCCAUGUAGGCCGGUUCGAUUCCGGUAUCACCUUC